AGCCAGGCUCCUUGCAGCAGACUUGCCACUGCUGCAACCCCGGGAGGUCCCCCGGAUCACAGGCACAAAAUCUGACCUACCUGGGGAAAUGAAGGCUCAGAGGGAUGAGGUGACUCAGCCAAUUGCCCUGCAGGAGUCAGUGACAGUCAGAACUAGAGUUCACGAGUUCCUGACUGCCACCACCAACUUGAGACUACUAGACCUUGCCCCUCCAGACUGGCCUGAGUGCUUUGAAAAACCUGCAGUGACCACCUGCAUCCAAAGACACAGAGGAAAGAACCACACACACAAGGCAAAAAUUCCUGAAAACUUCAUGGUGGGAAGGCCUGGAAUGUAUCUCCAUGGUCUGAACAAGACCACACAAUCAAAUUUGGCUCUCUGCAUCUGAGUCUUGUCACCUGAAACCCUGCCAGAGCAACCUAGCACAAUGUCAUCCUGGGUCAGAGCACAUAAUCAGCCAGUGACCCCCUGACAAAAACAGUUGAGCAGCCACUGCGAAGACCCUCCUGAAUCUCUGUUAUUCACACAUCUCUAAGCUUCAGCUACCAGCUACUCUGAAUCUAGCUACACAGGAGUCAUCCUCUAUAUCAGUGUUUCUCAACCUGUGGGUCACAACCCAAAAGUGGGUCACAAGAAUGUAUGAAAGGGUCGCAAACAAACUUUAAAAAAUGGAUUCUCUUUUAAAUGAGGUUGGGGCCCUGCGUACCCUACACACCCACCCCCUGCCCCACACACUGGGGGGGUGGGACUGGCCACUGAUGUUUACAAAUGGGCCUUGGUACGAAAAAGGUUGAGAUCCACUGCUCUAUACCAACAGGAGGCUCCUCUGAAUUCUCUUGUUUGUCUGUCUUUACAGUCACCCACAGCUGAUACCUGGGCAUUUGCCUUUGGAGCCCAUUAUCCUGCCUCAAGUAGUGGCCCAAAAGAGGAAAAGGGCUUGCCCUCUCUUCUUGAAAGUUAAGAGCUGUCUCAGGACUUCUCCCAGCUGGAGAUAGCUCAGGAAUUCACUAGCAAAGACCUGGAUGGCAGGAAGUGAAAGGGGAGAUGAGCAAAUUAACACUCCUCCCAUUGCUACCCCCUGAGAAUACAGCAGAGG